UACAGAGGGUGCGAGCGUUGUUCGGAAUUACUGGGCGUAAAGCGCGUGUAGGCGGUCUACUAAGUCAGAUGUGAAAGCCUGGGGCUUAACUCCAGAAGUGCAUUUGAAACUAUUAGGCUAGAGUGAUGUAGAGGAUGGCGGAAUACCCAGUGUAGAGGUGAAAUUCGUAGAGAUUGGGUAGAACACCGGUGGCGAAGGCGGCCAUCUGGGCAUUAACUGACGCUGAGACGCGAAAGCGUGGGGAGCAAAC
rnacentral:rRNA from 1 species